rnacentral:rRNA from 1 species
GACAGAGGGUGCAAACGUUGUUCGGAAUUACUGGGCGUAAAGCGCGUGUAGGCGGCUAAGUAAGUCGGGCGUGAAAUCCCACGGCUCAACCGUGGAAGUGCACUCGAAACUGCAUAGCUAGAGUCCUGGAGAGGAAGGUGGAAUGCUUGGUGUAGAGGUGAAAUUCGUAGAUAUCAAGCGGAACACCGGUGGCGAAGGCGGCCUUCUGGACAGUGACGUGACGCUGAGACGCGAAAGCGUGGGGAGCCAACAGGG